GUGAAAAGCCAGCUAGAAACAGUCCUCUGCUCCCACCCCGACAUCUCGAGACCCUGCCCACUGGGGACUGUCGACCUCAUCACACUGUGCGAGCACAAUCACGCUGGGCUCUGAAUAGAGGCCUCAGACUGCUGGAGAUAACCCUUGAAGCUGAAGUUGGCCAACUCCACUGCGAUUACUCAGGCUUCCCUUUGGAAGGCAUCAUGGGACCUUGACAACAUGAUGAUGAAUGACACAAACCAGUGACCAAGGACACAUACUGCUGCUUGAUUCUGUUCA